rnacentral:rRNA from 1 species
AUUAUGGAGAGUUUGAUCCUGGCUCAGGACUAACGCUGGCGGCGUGCCUAACACAUGCAAGUCGAACGGGGUAGCAAUACCUAGUGGCAGACGGGUGAGUAACACGUGGUCAACCUGCCUUUGUGUGGGGGAUAACUAGCCGAAAGGUUAGCUAAUACCGCAUACGAUCGUUUUGAGGCAUCUCAAAGCGAUGAAAGAAGCAAUUCGCACAAAGAGGGGACUGCGUCCCAUUAGUUAGUUGGUGGGGUAACGGCCUAC